rnacentral:ncRNA from 7 species
GUUCAGAUGAUGAAUUCAACUGUUCAACUGCUGAAUGAGCCAAACAUGAACUAACAUUAACUCUGACAGAA